GGAGGGAUGCCAGAGUGGUCGAAUGGACCGCACUCGAAAUGCGGCGUACCCCACGGGUACCCUGGGUUCGAAUCCCAGUUCCUCCG
rnacentral:tRNA from 1 species